rnacentral:rRNA from 1 species
AUUGAACGCUGGCGGCAGGCCUAACACAUGCAAGUCGAGCGGAUGAAGGGAGCUUGCUCCUGGAUUCAGCGGCGGACGGGUGAGUAAUGCCUAGGAAUCUGCCUGGUAGUGGGGGAUAACGUCCGGAAACGGGCGCUAAUACCGCAUACGUCCUGAGGGAGAAAGUGGGGGAUCUUCGGACCUCACGCUAUCAGAUGAGCCUAGGUCGGAUUAGCUAGUUGGUGGGGUAAAGGCCUACCAAGGCGACGAUCCGUAACUGGUCUGAGAGGAUGAUCAGUCACAUUGGAACUGAGACACGGUCCAGACUCCUACGGGAGGCAGCAGUGGGGAAUAUUGGACAAUGGGCGAAAGCCUGAUCCAGCCAGGCCGCGUGUGCGAAGAAGGUCUUCGGAUUGUAAAGCACUUUAAGUUGGGAGGAAGGGCAGUAAGUUAAUACCUUGCUGUUUUGACGUUACCAACAGAAUAAGCACCGGCUAACUUCGUG